rnacentral:rRNA from 1 species
AGAGUUUGAUCAUGGCUCAGAACGAACGCUGGCGGCAUGCCUAACACAUGCAAGUCGAACGCUUUUGGGGUUUCGGCCUCAAGGGAGUGGCGCACGGGUGAGUAGCGCGUGGGAACCUGCCCUGUUGUGGGGGAUAACCGAGGGAAACUUCGGCUAAUACCGCAUGCGCCCGGGGAAACCCGGGGAAAGAUUUAUCGCAGCAGGAGGGGCCCGCGUCGGAUUAGCUAGUUGGUGGGGUAACGGCCUACCAAGGCAUCGAUCCGUAGCUGGUCUGAGAGGAUGAUCAGCCACACUGGGACUGAGACACGGCCCAGACUCCUACGGGAGGCAGCAGUGGGGAAUAUUGGACAAUGGGCGCAAGCCUGAUCCAGCAAUGCCGCGUGAGUGAUGAAGGCCUUAGGGUUGUAAAGCUCUUUCGCCCGCGACGAUGAUGACGGUAGCGGGAGAAGAAGCCCCGGCUAACUUCGUGCCAGCAGCCGCGGUAAUACGAAGGGGGCGAGCGUUGUUCGGAUUUACUGGGCGUAAAGGGCGCGUAGGCGGCGGACCAAGUCGAGUGUGAAAGCCCCGGGCUCAACCUGGGAGGUGUGCUCGAGACUGGCCCGCUGGAGUUCGGGAGAGGAGCGUGGAAUUCCCAGUGUAGAGGUGAAAUUCGUAGAUAUUGGGAAGAACACCGGUGGCGAAGGCGGCGCUCUGGACCGAGACUGACGCUGAGGCGCGAAGGCGUGGGGAGCAAACAGGAUUAGAUACCCUAGUAGUCC